UACACUUCUGGAAGACUAACCCUAAAAUAACUCGUUCACGCUUCUCUUCUAGUUUUCUAGGUUACAGCCGACAUAUUUCCAAAUUGACGGAGUUACCCUUCUUUCUUUAAUCGAUCGAAACGCACAAGAAAAAAUCGAAUCAUAGAUUCAUACAGCUUUCUUUCUCUUCGAUCGACGCCACAAACAAUCACAGUUACUUUGGAGGUCUUUACAUGAUGGUUAAGACCAUCUCCAACCUAUCCAUAUUUCCCCCCUUUACAAACACACCCCUUUACUAAUUUAGUUUUAACAAAUAAAAAUAAAUUUUAUAUUUUUGAUUAAUCAAUAUAAUUUAUUAUAUUUCAUAAUAUUAUAAAUAUUAAACAUUAUAUUUAAAUUAAAUCUAAUAGAUAAAAUAAACUACAAAUGUAUAAAUAUAUAAAAUUAGGGACUAAACCCGACAACUGAAACUUCAUGUGUAUAUAUAUGGGGUAAUACUAUUCAUAUCUCCAAACAUGGAGGGAGAAAUAGGAUAGGGUUGGAGAAGAAUGGGAGAGAAAAUGGAGAAAAAAAUAGCAUUUGAGGAUGAGUUGGAGAUGCUCUAAAGGAUGGAUUUCCAAUCGAAGACCACAAUGGCAUUGUUGUCCAUUUGAAGAUUUGAGUUGACGAGUUUAUAAGCAUGUAGAUACCAUAAACUAUUUUUGAUAUCUAUAAAAUGUAGAAAUCGUGGUUUCUUGAUUCUCAUCCAACAAGAUGUUGGAGCUCUUUAUGUCACGAUGUAUGACUUUUUGUCAACGAUUACAAAGGAUUAUGAAGGUAGUCUAGCCCACACGCAACAUCAUUGCAUAUCUUGAGACAUUUGCUCUACAUGAGACUUGUGCAUCCAAAAAUAUGUGUUGUGCAAGUGUCACGUGAGAGUCUGAUGCGUCAAGAUAGACAUUGGUUUUGUGCGUGGGUUAGCAUACCGUCAUAAUCCUUUGUUAUCGCAACAGAAAGUCGUGCAUGGUGAUAUAAAUAGCUCUAACAUCAUGUUGGAUAAGAACUGCGAUACUAUGAUUUCAAGUUUUUGUAUCUUAAAUAGUAUAUCUAAGACAUUUUCUAGUUGUGGAUUGGUUUUUGUUAUUUGUUUUGAACUAUUGUAAUUGUAAAAUGUGAAUUUAAAGAAAUGAACUUUGGGGA